GAUUAACGCUGGCGGCGUGCCUAACACAUGCAAGUCGAGCGGCAGCGAGUUUUACACUGAAUUCUGGAAGCUUCUAGUUGAAAGAGAAGAUUUAUUCAAGAAUUUUGUGUAAAAUGUCGGCGAGCGGCGGACGGCUGAGUAACGCGUGGGAACGUACCCCAAAGUGAGGGAUAACGCAUCGAAAGGUGUGCUAAUACCGCAUAUGGUCUUCGGAUUAAAGCCUUCGGGCGCUUUGGGAACGGCCUGCGUAAGAUUAGAUAGUUGGUGGGGUAAUGGCCUACCAAGUCGACGAUCUUUAACUGGUUUGAGAGGAUGAUCAGUCAGACUGGAACUGAGACACGGUCCAGACUCCUACGGGAGGCAGCAGUGAGGAAUCUUCCACAAUGGGCGAAAGCCUGAUGGAGCAACGCCGCGUGCAGGAUGAAGGCCUUCGGGUUGUAAACUGCUUUUAUAAGUGAGGAUUAUGACAGUAACUUAUGAAUAAGGAUCGGCUAAUUACGUG
rnacentral:rRNA from 1 species